rnacentral:rRNA from 1 species
GAUGAACGCUAGCGGCAGGCCUAAUACAUGCAAGUCGAACGGUCUUCAGCAAUGGAGAUAGUGGCGCACGGGUGCGUAACGCGUAACCAACCUGCCCUUGACUGGGGGAUAGCCCGCCGAAAGGCGGAUUAAUACCGCAUAAGAUAGCGGCCCGGCAUCGGGUGGUUAUUAAAGAGCAAUUGGUCAAGGAUGGGGUUGCGUAGCAUUAGCUGGUUGGCGGGGUAACGGCCCACCAAGGCGACGAUGCUUAGGGGAGCUGAGAGGCUGGUCCCCCACACGGGGACUGAGAUACGGGCCCGACUCCUACGGGAGGCAGCAGUAGGGAAUAUUGGGCAAUGGCCGAGAGGCUGACCCAGCCAUGCCGCGUGCAGGACGAAGGCUUUCUGAGUCGUAAACUGCUUUUGCCAGGGAAGAAAAAAGGGGAUGCGUCCCCUACUGACGGUACCUGGUGAAUAAGCACCGGCUAACCCCGUGCCAGCCGCCGCGGUAA